UGGGGGGGUACCACCCUCAGUGCCGAAGCUAAACGCAUUAAGCACUCCGCCCUGGGGAGUACGGUCGCAAGACUGAAACUCAAAGGGAAUUGACGGGGGGCCCGCACAAGCAGUGGAGCAUGUGGUUUAAUUCGAAGCAACGCGAAGAACCUUACCAGGACUUGACAUCCCGCUGAUCGGUCUAGAGAUAGGCCUUCCCUUCGGGGCAGCGGUGACAGGUGGUGCAUGGUUGUCGUCAGCUCGUGUCGUGAGAUGUUGGGUUAAGUCCCGCAACGAGCGCAACCCUUGGAUUGUGUUGCCAUCAUUUAGUUGGGCACUUACAAUCGACUGCCGGUGACAAACCGGAGGAAGGCGGGGAUGACGUCAAAUCAUCAUGCCCCUUAUGUCCUGGGCUACACACGUGCUACAAUGGGCGGUACAAAGGGAUGCGAAGCCGCGAGGUGGAGCCAAUCCCAGAAAGCCGUUCGUAGUUCGGAUUGCAGGCUGCAACUCGCCUGCAUGAAGCCGGAAUUGCUAGUAAUCGCGGAUCAGCAUGCCGCGGUGAAUUCGUUCCCGGGCCUUGUACACACCGCCCGUCACACCAUGGGAGUUGGCAACACCCGAAGUCGGUGAGGUAACUCGCAAGAGAGCCAGCCGCCUAAGGUGGGGUCGAUGACUGGGGUGAAGUCGUAACAAGGUAGCCGUA
rnacentral:rRNA from 1 species